rnacentral:lncRNA from 1 species
UGAAGGUCUGUUACAUAGGUAAACGUGUGUCACAGAGGUUUUUUGUACAAAUUAUUUUAUCACCCAAAUAGUAAGCCCAGUACCCAACAGUUAUAUUUUCUGCUCCUCUCCCUCCUCCCACCCUCCCACCUCAAGUAGACCCCAGUGCUGUCGUUUCCUUCCUUAUGUUCAUAAGUUCUUAUCAUUUGGCUCCUACUAAUAAGCAAUAAUGCAGGCACAAGAUACCUACCUUAUUCUUUCUUUCUCCUCCUUCCCAGUACCUGCUCUUUUCUCUUUAACUAUGGAGGUCCCCAGAUCCUCUUCAGAAAAAACACACCCACCAAUUUUUCUUGUGGUUCUGUGUUCUUUUCCUGGGCACGUCCUUACCCUUAGCAAAUAAAACUUUUAAAAUGAUUGGGGCUUAAAUCCGUCAUUGUCUUUGAUUUACAACACAAAGUAAAAUUUGAUUUUCUUUUUUUUUCUAAAAGACAACAUGAGAAAUUCAAUGUUACUGUAUUUAGCAGUACUUUUUGUAUAUGUGCAUGAAGCAAUUUCUUUUUUUUGCUCAUCAGUGAUGGAAAUAUUAGAGAACUGUUAAAUUAAGUUUAGCUUAAAACUGCAUCCUUAUAUAUUUUAAAUUUGACCUAGUGGUUUCUCUGUACAUAAUAAGCUGUAACCCAACUUCAUGUGUAAACAGACUGUAACCUACUCUUGUAACAAGCAGCCCAACUUCAGCCAAUCAAAGCAGCCAAACUUCUGUCAAUCACAGGCAGCCAACUGUUCAAACCAGGUUCAAAUCAGGCAAAUUCCCAGCUGUAACCAAUCCAGCUGUUUGUGUACCUCACUUCCAUUUUCUGCACAUCACUUUCUUUUUCUGUUCAUAAAUGUUAACUGACCAUGUGGUAGCCCUGGAGUAGCUCUGAACCUAUUCUGGUUCUGGGGGCUGCCUGAUUUGCAAAUCAUUCUUUGCUCAAUUAAACUCUGUUGAAUUUAAUUUGUCUACAGUUUUUCUUUUAACAGUUGGCCUCAGAAGUGGGAUCUGAAGUAGGGCUUCCAGCAACCCCCAAGUGAUGAA